CCCUUAGAGUUUGAUCCUGGCUCAGGAUGAACGCUAGCUACAGGCUUAACACAUGCAAGUCGAGGGGCAGCAUGGUCUUAGCUUGCUAAGGCCGAUGGCGACCGGCGCACGGGUGAGUAACACGUAUCCAACCUGCCGUCUACUCUUGGACAGCCUUCUGAAAGGAAGAUUAAUACAAGAUGGCAUCAUGAGUCCGCAUGUUCACAUGAUUAAAGGUAUUCCGGUAGACGAUGGGGAUGCGUUCCAUUAGAUAGUAGGCGGGGUAACGGCCCACCUAGUCUUCGAUGGAUAGGGGUUCUGAGAGGAAGGUCCCCCACAUUGGAACUGAGACACGGUCCAAACUCCUACGGGAGGCAGCAGUGAGGAAUAUUGGUCAAUGGGCGAGAGCCUGAACCAGCCAAGUAGCGUGAAGGAUGACUGCCCUAUGGGUUGUAAACUUCUUUUAUAAAGGAAUAAAGUCGGGUAUGGAUGCCCGUUAGCAUGUACUUUAGAAUAAGGAUCGGCAACUCUGG
rnacentral:rRNA from 1 species